rnacentral:rRNA from 1 species
CACGUAGGGUGCGAGCGUUGUCCGGAAUUAUUGGGCGUAAAGAGCUCGUAGGCGGUGUGUCGCGUCGGCCGUGAAAACCUGCAGCUUAACUGUGGGCUUGCGGUCGAUACGGGCAUCACUGGAGUUCGGCAGGGGAGACUGGAAUUCCUGGUGUAGCGGUGAAAUGCGCAGAUAUCAGGAGGAACACCGAUGGCGAAGGCAGGUCUCUGGGCCGCAACUGACGCUGAGGAGCAAAAGCAUGGGGAGCGAACAGGA